AUACGGAGGGUGCAAGCGUUGUUCGGAAUUACUGGGCGUAAAGCGCGCGUAGGUGGUCUGUUAUGUCAGAUGUGAAAGUCCACGGCUCAACCGUGGAAGUGCAUUUGAAACUGGCAGACUUGAGUACUGGAGGGGGUAGUGGAAUUCCCGGUGUAGAGGUGAAAUUCGUAAAUAUCGGGAGGAAUACCGGUGGCGAAGGCGACUACCUGGCCAGAUACUGACACUGAGGUGCGAAAGCGUGGGGAGCGAACAGGAUUAGAAACCCUAGUAGUCC
rnacentral:rRNA from 1 species